AACGCACAUUGCGCCCCUUGGUAUUCCGAGGGGCAUGCCUGUUCGAGCGUCAUUAUAACCACUCAAGCCUCGGCUUGGUAUUGGGGUUCGCGGUCUCGCGGCCCUUAAAACUAGUGGCGGUGCCAUCUGGCUCUAAGCGUAGUAAUUCUCUCGCUACAGGGUCUAGGUGGUUACUUGCCAAAACCCCCCUAUUUUCUAUGGUUGACCUCGGAUCAGGUAGGGAUACCCGCUGAACUUAA
rnacentral:misc_RNA from 1 species